UUUUUAUUAGGAUUGACAUCUCAUAUUUUCAUGGUUUUUGAGUAUUCUUUUAAAAACACUAGUUGUUUUUUUUUGUUUUUUGUUUUUUUUUCUCAAAACAGGGUUUCUCUGUGUAGCCUUGGCUGUCCUGGAACUUUCUCUGUAGACCAGGUUGGUCUCAAAUUCACAUAGACCCACCUGUCUUUAAUUCCCAAAUGCUGGGAACACUAGUGUUUUAAAAGCAUAACAUUAAUACAAAAAAAGCAAAUUUACCUAUCAUCUUCAUAAUACACAUAAACUCUGUUGACACUUAAAAAUAUAUUGACAGUUAGAAAAUUUGAACAGUAAUGAAAGUUUCAUUCUAUCCCUCUACAGAAAGCCACUGUCUAUAUAUUUCUGUUCUGCCAGAAAUGUACGAAUAUGCACCAGACAGUGGAUAAAACUGCUCAGUGACUGGGACCUCCUCCUCUCACAAAAGCUGACAUGAAGUAUGACAGACAGGGUUGUCUGAAUAUGGCUGCACACGACCAGGCUGAAUGGCAGGGCUGGGGCAGGGGAGUGGCUCAGUCCUUAGCUCAACAAUAAAGCUACCUGAUAUCUCCCUCAAAUCCUUCUUAAAUGGUGGAAGGUUUAAAUUUAUCUUGAAACAUGUUUACAUGGUUUUUUGUUUGCCUUUUCCAAUCUCAUCCAUCCAUCCACCAACUUCAUCAAACAAACUGAUAGGGGUUAUUAUCUACUUUAAAAAAUGAUAUUGUGGGCUGGGGAGUUGGCUCAGUGAUUAAGAGAACUGGUUGCUCUUUCAGAGGACCAGGGUUCAAUUCUCAGCACCCACAUGGCAGUUGACAACUGUCUUUAAUUCCAGUUCCAGGGGAUCUGAUGCCCUCAUGAUAGACAUAAAAACACCAACGCACACGAAAUAAAAAUUUUUAAAAAAUGACACUGUGUCUGAGAGACAGUGAAGUCAAAUGACUUGUUCAGAACCAGGCAACUGACCAAGUCUUCUGACUCCAGGACACUCCCAUAUUCACCCCUGAUUCUCCCCAGCCUACCCUAGUGCAACAAGUUCAGCUUGCCACUUUAUGACCUCAAACAAAGAAACAGCAGUAAGAGUCGUGUGUGCUGGUGCAUGCUUGGAAUGCCUGCACUCCAGAAGAUAAGGUGAGAGACAGGAGUUCUAGGCUAGACUGGGCUUCUGUGUGCUAAAACUACUCCAUUCUCAUCAACACCUAAAUUUAAAUCUGGAUAGAAACAUAAUUAUUACCAGUUUUACCAACACCUGUGAAAAUUUACUUUGUGUUUUACUGUAAACACCUAUAUAUUUAAAACAUCCCAACUUUCAAAAGGUUUGAUAUCUUUUAUUUUACUUUUAAUAAUGAAAAAUGUUAGGCCAGGUGGUGGUGGCGCAUGCCUUUAAUCCCAGCACUCGGGAGGCAGAGGCAGGCAGAUCUCUGUGAGUUCCAGCCAAGCCUGGUCUACAAGAGCGAGUUCCAGGACAGCUUCCAAAGCCACAGAGAAACCCUGUCUCAACCUCCCCAUCCCCCCCCCAAAAAGAAUGAGAAGUGUUGCCUUGGAAUAUAGCAGUAGUCACUUGUCAUUUCCAUUUCCUGAGUUGCUUUCUAGUCAAUCAGGACUGAAACAGGUGGGUUUUUUUUGUUGCUUUCUUUCAUAUGUUUGGUUUUUAGAAACAGGGUUCUGGCUGUCCUAGAACUCACUAUGUAGACUAAGCUAAUCUCCUCAAACUCACAGAGAGCUUCCCAUCUCAGCCUACCAAGUACUGGGAUUAAAGGCAUGUUCCACCGCUGACCAGCUGUUUUUCAAACUCCUAAAAUAAAAAAAAAAAUCUUUUUAAGAUUCACUCAUUUUUCCUUUAAAUGUGCAUGAAUGUUUGGCCUGCAUGCAUGUAUGUGCAUCAUGUGUCUGCCUGUUGCAUCCCCUGGAACUAGGGUUACAGAUGGUUCGGGUGCUGGGAAUUAAACUUGGGUCUUCUGCAAGAGUAACAAGUGUUAGCUGAGUCAUCUAUCCAGCCCUGAAACCUUUCUGAGAAAUGAAAGGCAUUAACUUUAUAACCACCUCACCUUCAGGUGACUUAAAUUAUGCUUGUAUAAUUUUUGACUUUAUUUAAAAAAAAAAACACUAAUUAUAGCUCAUCAUAUCAAUCUCACGAAUGGGUCAUGACCCAUAGUUUGAAAAGCACUAAGUUGCAUUAAGAUGAAUACACACAUUCGGCCCUCAAGGCAUUCGUAUAUUUGCUGGCAGUCUCAAAUAUACACAGUCCCUCGAUAACCUGAAGACCCGGAAAAAGCCUCAGUGUCAAUCACUUCAAUAAUCUACUGUGUAGCAGAUUCUGCAACAUCCCUGACAGGGUGACACAUCCUGAAGCCUUUGCUUUCCAGACGCUGCGGGCAAAGCUGACUCUGAGGGUCACAAUACAGUUUAGCACUACCAAACAGACAGGCAAGAAGUUACCUUUCAUUUGGUACCUACCAUAGGGCUAUAUAUAGUCCAAUACAAUAGUGCAGAAAUUAAUAAAACACCUAAAUAUACACACAACCUUUUCCUGAGAGACAAUUUGGACUUAAUCCUAGACCCAGCAUAGUCUUUUGUAGGAAGAGGGAAGAGAGGAAGCCAGGAGACAAGAGGUCUCAAAAAGGUCCUCUUCAUGACCUAAUGGAGUGUUGGUGAAUGAGAUUAUCCGAAGUCUUCAGUAUUGGGGAGACCCAGUAAACAGACUCACAGUAAAGGCUGGAAGUCAGGAAUGGCUCCCCUAAGGGGGUCCAAAAGGAGCAGAGUCUUCACAGAGAAACUCCAUACAAUCAGACUGGCAGAGAAGAUAGGAGGUCUUCAGAAGAAACAAGCCCAGCACAUUCAGGGACAGUAAUGAAGGGCUGACAGAGAUGGCAAGGGAUAAAACCUUUCCAUAAAUAAUAUGCACAGUGUACAAUAUGUAGCAAAUAAUUUAUGAGUUAACUAAAAAUAAAAUAAAAAGCAAGAAGCUUUUAAGAAGAGAGCUAGCCAAAAAGAAAGACUGAGAGAUAAGACCAGAUCCCUCUACGGAAAGCAAGACAAUUAUAGAUUCUUCUACUCUUCGUGUAACAUGAUGUUUCUAAAGGUUUCUGAAUUUGCAGGAUAGUAUUUCAAAAUUACCCAUGGGCAAGCGGAGUGUAAACUGGUCUCUAAAAAGACCUAGAGUUCACACAACAGGUCCCCAAUAUCUGUUUUACUACAAAUGAAAAUGUGUACAUGUAUAUGGACUUCAGAAAUUCAGAAUAUUUUAGGAGCAGUCUUGGUUACCCAAAUGGAAGAAAGGCUGAGAUACUGAGCUUGGGUGCCAAUGAAAUCCUACUUAGUGUUUCUUUCAUCCUUCUCCUUUUGCUAUGGAGCCUGGCCUGUAAUUAAAUGGUUCUUUCCAUUAUUAAAGCUACAGACUUUAUUCAAAUUAAGCUACUGACUUGAUCCAUCCUAGAGAUUACUGGGUACCUACUAGAUUACUAUAAACCAUCUUGCAAAAAAGUAAAUUUUGCCUAAACAAUAGCAACCUUUAUGAUAAUGAAGAUUUCUAAAGUUACCAUACAGGGAUCUGGGGAGACAUUAACUAUCUAGUAAUUCUGGCUCUGCUGGAUAUACUGUCUGUGUCCUAUCUACCUCAGCUAGAACGAAGGUUUGUUUCAGGUGAAUACAAACACAGUCUGUGAGUCACCUUGCAAUUACAGCUGACACCUGAGAGCAUAGUUAAAGCUUGAGAAACACUGGAAGACUCUGCCCUGAUCUUCCUGUCUCUCUUCCCUGUCGCAGGAUGAAUAGAUUCUUGACAAAUCAUAGGAUAAUUUUUAUUGCACUUCUAAAUUGAAAAGGGCUGCCUCCAAAUACCUCAAAAUUACUGAGCUGAGAGUAUAGUAAAUUUUAGGGAUAAGAUGUAUUGCUUGAGGCUGUUUUUUUUUUCUCCCAAAGGAGAAAUCAUCAAGGGUUUCCUAAACUUCCGAGAAAACAUCUGUACAUACCAGGUCUACGUGUUAGCAAUCAUACACCUGUAACUGACGAGGGGGUCCUGAGGACCAUUCACCACUGAGCAACAUUCAUCUCAGCCCUCUGCUGCCGUAUUCCUCCAUUCAAGAAAGCCGCGUACAGCUCGGUGACAGUGGAACACACCCGUCACCUGAAAACGGCAGGCCAGGAUCUGCCUCGAUGCCUCAAUCCCCCCUGUCUGAGAGGCAGCAGGAACCGGGACCAAGGCAUCUAUCUGAUGGAACACUUAAAAGAAAAACAACACAGAAACAGUAACACUCCACAGCCAAGUGCGUGCGAUCCUCUCCACACCCUUGUAACUUCUUGCCCCACCAGUCAGGCAGUGGCGGACGACUUCGCCUUCUCGGGGUGGAGCACGGUCUCUUCUGCUCGCUCGUCACCUCCCCGUCCUUUGGUGACACGGAUACAACAACUGUGUGUGAUGCUUGGCUGUGGGAGGUCAAGCGUUUCCACCCUAAAACCGGGCCGUGGCUGAGCCCGGGUGCAGAGAGCCUGCAGCCAGCCGGCGGACAGGGG
rnacentral:lncRNA from 1 species